GUAUUCUAUAGUUUAUUAAAAUAUUAAAUUGCAAAUUUAAAGAAAUUUAGUUAAGUUAGGAUA
rnacentral:tRNA from 1 species